rnacentral:rRNA from 1 species
UACGUAGGUGGCGAGCGUUGUCCGGAUUUACUGGGCGUAAAGAGCGCGCAGGCGGUCGUUCAAGUCGCGUGUGAAAGCCCCCGGCUCAACUGGGGAGGGUCACGCGAUACUGAUCGGCUCGAAGGCAGGAGAGGGAAGUGGAAUUCCCGGUGUAGUGGUGAAAUGCGUAGAUAUCGGGAGGAACACCAGUGGCGAAGGCGACUUCCUGGCCUGUUCUUGACGCUGAGGCGCGAAAGCUAGGGUAGCAAACGGG